rnacentral:rRNA from 1 species
AUGGGAACGCGAAGAACCUUACCUAGACUUGACAUCCCCUGAAUAACGUAGAGAUACGCGAAGACCCUUCCGGGUCGAGGAGGACAGGUGGUGCAUGGUUGUCGUCAGCUCGUGUCGUGAGAUGUUGGGUUAAGUCCCGCAACGAGCGCAACCCUUACUCAUUAGUUGCUACCAUUUAGUUGAGCACUCUAGUGAGACUGCCCGGGUUAACCGGGAGGAAGGCGGGGAUGACGUCAAAUCAUCAUGCCCCUUAUGUCUAGGGCUACACACGUGCUACAAUGGUGAGAACAACGAGAUGCAAUACCGCGAGGUGGAGCAAAACUUCAAAACUCAUCUCAGUUCGGAUUGUAGGCUGAAACUCGCCUACAUGAAGUUGGAGUUGCUAGUAAUCGCGAAUCAGAAUGUCGCGGUG